GCAGUACACACAGGUGGACGAGAUGAGGGCAGAGAGUAGAGUACACACAGGACACAAGAUGACCAGCAGUGACCAGCACUGACCACCAUCAGGGGGAGGAGGACAGGAUGAAGAUAAAGAUGUGUGCUACGCUGCACUGGAAAUCCCUACCAAAGAGCGCAGACAGAGACCCAAGAAAAAGAGAGCUGAGAAUCCUGAUCUCUGUACUUACUCAGAGGUCAGGGCUUAUCAGUCCCAGUGAGAGUGAACACCACAACACAACACUGUGUUAGUUUUUAUUUUCAUCUGAAUACGGAUUUAUUUGGAAAUGUGUUAAAACAACAGAAAUAAUGACAAUUUA